rnacentral:tRNA from 1 species
GAGGGUGUAGCUCAGUGGUAGAGCAUGUGCUAAGCAUGCACAGGUCCUGGGUUCCAUCCCCAGUGCCGCCG